rnacentral:rRNA from 1 species
UUACACCAAGGCGUUUGUUCUGCACUAUAGGCGUAAAGAGCUUCGUAGUGUUGGUCACGUCCUGCUGUGAAACGCACGGCUUAACGUUGCGCGUGCAGUGGGUACGGGCUGACUAGAGUGCAGUAGGGGAGUCUGGAAUUCCUGGUGUAGCGGUGAAAUGCGCAGAUAUCAGGAGGAACACCCGGUGGCGAAGGCGGGACUCUGGGCUGUAACUGACGCUGAGGAGCGAAAGCAUGGGGAGCGAACAGGAUUAGAUACCCUGGUAGUCCAUGCCGUAAACGUUGGGAACUAGGUGUGGGGUCCAUUCCACGGAUUCCGUGCCGUAGCUAACGCAUUAAGUUCCCCGCCUGGGGAGUACGGCCGCAAGGCUAAAACUCAAAGGAAUUGACGGGGGCCCGCACAAGCGGCGGAGCAUGCGGAUUAAUUCGAUGCAACGCGAAGAACCUUACCAAGGCUUGACAUACACCGGAAACGGCUAGAGAUAGUCGCCUCUUCGGACUGGUGUACAGGUGGUGCAUGGUUGUCGUCAGCUCGUGUCGUGAGAUGUUGGGUUAAGUCCCGCAACGAGCGCAACCCUCGUUCUAUGUUGCCAGCACGUGAUGGUGGGAACUCAUGGAAGACUGCCGGGGUCAACUCGGAGGAAGGUGGGGAUGACGUCAAAUCAUCAUGCCCUUUAUGUCUUGGGCUUCACGCAUGCUACAAUGGCCGGUACAGAGGGUGGCGAUACCGUGAGGUGGAGCGAAUCCCAGAAAGCCGGUCUCAGUUCGGAUCGUAGUCUGCAACUCGACUACGUGAAGUCGGAGUCGCUAGUAAUCGCAGAUCAGCAACGCUGCGGUGAAUACGUUCCCGGGCCUUGUACACACCGCCCGUCAAGUCACGAAAGUCGGUAACACCCGAAGCCGGUGGCCUAACCCUUGUGGGGGGAGCCGUCGAAAGGGGGGAG